GCCGAACGCUGGCGGCGUGCCUAAUACAUGCAAGUCGAACGCAGUGGGGACGGGUGAGUAAAACGUGGGUCACCUCCCAUCAGAGGGGAUAACACUUGGAAACAGGUGCUAAACCGAUACUGAUGGAUGGACCCGCUGUGCAUUAGCUAGUUAGUGAGGUAACGGCUCACCAAGGCCAAGAUGCAUAGCCGACCUGUACGCGUGAUCGGCCGCACUAGGACUGAGACACGGCCCAGGCUCCUCCGUGAGGCAGCAGUAGGGAAUCUUCGGCAAUGGACGAAAGUCUGACCGAGCAACGCCGCGUGAGUGAAGAAGGUUUUCGGAUCGUAAAACUCUGUUGUUAGAGAAGCGGUAUCUAACCAGAAAGCCACGGCUAACUACGUGCCAGCAGCCGCGGUAAUUC
rnacentral:rRNA from 1 species